AUCGAGGCAGGCGAUGAAGCUCGCCCCAAUUGCCACACCGGCUGAUGGCUUCUACCACGUC
rnacentral:ncRNA from 1 species